ensembl:lncRNA
AUGGUCAUUCAGCAUGUGGCUGCAAUGGAAUUAGAAGAUACAAGCAAACCUGAUGAACAAGCAAACAGUGCUGAACAAGAAAAUUUGAACCUCAGAAUGAAAGAGCUGGAGAAAUCGGAGCAAGAACUGAAAGGUGUUUUACAAGACUACAUGGAUUCAGAUUCCAUGCUAAGAAAUAGGAUGAAAGAGCUGGAGCUGUCACACAAAACCCUUCUUGUGAUGAUUGAUCAGCUAAAUGUGAAGGUGCACCAGGUUGAAAAUGCAAAUGUGCGUGUUAAAGGGAAAGUGCGAGUCAUUUGGGAGGAGCUGAUGAACUUGGUUGAAAACCAAGAAAAGUCAGAGAAGAAGCAAAAGGAAAAAUUACAUUGGCUUCUGGAGCAGCUGAAGACAAAAGAAGAUGAAGUAAAAAGCCAGUCAGAAUAUUUUGAGCACUACAAGCAAAAGCAGAAGCGACAAACAACAAUACAGAGAGAAAGGGAAUGUUACCUGCGGGGAGAGGUGUCCAGGCUGGAAAAGCAAGUGUUAGAUCUCAAUGCCCAUAUUGCUUGUUUGACAUCUGAGUUAGAAGAGGGAAUGGCACAGUGUCUCCAACAGAAGGUGGAAUCAGCAUCCACUGGGACUCAGGGCUAUAAACUUUCUGAAAUGGAAGUAAUUGAAUUGAAAACUUGCAUUGAAAACAUGGAGCAUGUCAUGAAAAGCCAUGUUGAGUCAUUUCAGCAAAAUCUGAAGUUCUUAAAGGAAAAAGGGGAGGACAACAGAAGAGAACAGGCAGACCUGCUGACUGAACUCCAGUGUUCCCAGGACACUGAAGACUUUCUCAGGAGAAAAUUGGAAGAAUCUUGCAAUUAUGUUUAUAAUCUGAAAUUGUCUGAAAUCAAACUACAGAAACAAGUGGAAGACCUUUUGGAUGAAAACAGGGUUUUAAAAGAUCAAAGUAGGGUGAAGUUAAAAAAGAAGGAAGAAAAGGACUCACAAUUUACGAGAUUGGAAAAUAGAGACAGUAGUGCUGACCUGGUAAGUAAAUGUAAGGUGAAGUAUAACAAACUUUUAUCUUUGUAUCACCUCAGAUUAUACUUGUCAUUAGGUGUACAAAGGAGAUGCAAAACAGGCUUUAUCCUUCCUGAAUUUCUUUCCUUUAUUUCUGUUGAUGUAUUAGAACUUCAGUGUCUAAUUCACAUGACUGUAAUCAGUAGCUGGAGUUUCAUUGUAUCACUGCUUUUACUAGGUGCACAUUGAGGGCACUUCACAAAUCUUGUUUCCUCACAUUUUAAAGCAAUGUGCCCAAGGCAAAAAGUCUCAGUUGGCACCUGAAAGAAAGCCCAAGAGAACUUCUAAGACUCGUGGACACCAUUCAGAGGAAGAGUACACAUAUGGUUGGGUGAGUUUUUGCAUCUUAUUCAUGCCCGGAUGCUGAAAUAAAAAAGCAUAACUGAAAAUAAAUCUUGGCUAUGAGAUCUGAAUAAUGGAAAACAAGGGAAGAUGGAUACCGUAUUCAUGGCUGGGAGUGAGUUGAGGUAUUUGAUGGUUUGCAGCUCCACAUCAUUGUGAUGUGCUCUGAAUACACUGAAUAGGUUUUCUUUGCUUCACUCAGUUCACUCCAGCAUUGCAUGGGAAAGCUCUGCAUUUACUGUAAUAUGGCAUUCAGCCUCUGCCAAUUCAUUUUGCUGACAAAGAAUAAUUCUUUUAAUGCAGAGAACUCAAUAAAGGUUUUAUUCUUUAUGCACUCAGUUAGAGGGUAUUUUCAGUCUGAUGAUUUGUGAAGUGAUGAUAAAGUGAAAUAAGUUAAGCCUCAUGCUCAGCUAUCCCAUUCAGAUUGUGACCUGAUAUCCCUAGAACUAUCCCAAUUUUAACUGCAAUAAACUGAGAGGUAAUGGGCAUGCAUAAAAUCCCCUUAGUGUAGGAGGAAAAUCACACUGAAUAAUUCCAGGACUGGGAGAAAGUAGAGAGGAUCCUUUGUGCAUACGUGCCUAGAAGAAAUCAAGAUUUUAAUCUGGUACUUGAACACAUCUUAACAGAAGUAGUGAUUUGGUACCAUUUCUGGCUUUAUAAUCCCAAAGAAGUGAGUUCCAGGAGCUUUUAUUUUAUUUUAUUUUAUUUUAUUUUAUUUUAUUUUAUUUUAUUUUAUUUAUUUAUUUAUUUUUAUUAAUUUUUUUUUGUGUGUAUGUAUGUGUGUACCAGAAAAUGGUUAGUAAGAUUCUUCUGCAGAGCAUAGAUGACCUCUACUUAGCUGCUCUGAUUUGGCAGAAGGACUCACUGCUGUUGCUCAUUUUUAUACAUCACCUGAGCCAAGCUUAAGAUAUUUUUAGAGAGACUUGGAGUGGGUCAUACACAGGUACAACAAACUAGUGCACUGUGAGGAGGCUGCCCAACUAAAAUCAGGCAGGUUGAGGGCUUUCAGAGCCAGAGAAUAAGUAGUGGAGAAUUGCUUUGUUUGAGAAUAUUCAGAAAGGGAGAAAGUAAAUGUUGAGUCAUGUGAAGGUGUGAGAACAGGGUAUAUCAGCUGACUAAUGGCCUGAGACUAAUCCAGAAAGUCUUCAAGAAAUAGAACCAAAUCUAUGCCGUACAAUGGUAAAAAGUUUUUUUUUUCUCCUAUACAAAGUUUACUAAUCUUUUAUUUUCCAACUAUUCAUUUAUAGCUAUAUUGUCUUACGAGUUUACCAAGUUUAUACCUUUGGUAUAAAUGAACAUGCCAUAAUACAUGCUAAGUACUUUGUUCUGAUGCACAGUUGAUUGUGUUCCUUAAAUCCUGUACAUAGCACCAGCAGCAUCAAACCUUGUGUAGCCUGCAUUACUGGUUGUAUUUUCCUCCUUUUUUUGAACUGCUCUGAAUUCACAUGGAUUCUUCCUGUAGAAAAUAGUGUCUUGAAAUAGUGGGAAAUACAUUUCAGUAUCUAUGAUAAAAGGAGGAGGGAGACCUCUGGUGUUGUAUUGUAAAACUGAAGAGGGCUAUUUCCCCUCAACUCAUCUUUUAGUAUCACCUAUUAAAAAAGAAUUUCCUAAUCUCAUUACAUUGGUCUUGGAGUGUUCAAACCAAAAGAGUUACAAGAGAAAUCCUAUUUAAGCUCUUCAUACUUUAUCACCAGGAAUACAGAUGAGGAGUUGUAUGCAAUACAAGAAAGAUUUUCAUGCUGUUACUUUUCUGGAAAGCUGCUGGUAUAUAAUUUUUCACUGAAAGAGCAAAUAGGAUCAUUUGUCUAUUCCUCAGCCAGGAAAAAAGUAGUUUGUGAAGACAGGCUUAGCAGACCCGUGUGAAAUACACACAGUAUGAGAUUCCUCACUCAAUGUUUUGUCAUUCAAAUUGCCAAGCACAUCAAUUAUUCUUGAAAACUAGGUGAAAUUAAUUUUAUGGAGGGGUGUAGUUGCAUAAAUCUCACUAGAAAUGUGACUUUCCAGAAUUGGUAUUAGGAUCUUGUCUUCAGUGUCUUGAUUACAACUUAUGCCUGAACGAAAAAUGCACAAAAAAGCAGCUUAUACCACGUACCUCUGUCUUUAUUUACCAGGCAAUUUCUAGAUGUGAAUAUCAGGGGGUCACUCAAAGUUUUGAUGAAGGAAAGUUAAGAAACACCAAGUGAUGCACCUUUCUACAGCUUUCACGUGACAUUCAAAGCAUGGGUUUCAUGCUGUGAUGUUCCUGGCAUUCAAGCAUUGUAUCUUUUACACCUUCUUGUAUAAUCAUAUUUUGAUGGAACCCACAAAGGGUUCCAUCCAAAAUAAAGAAAAGAUAUCUGGGACAAAAUAGAGGCAAAGAAUGAGUGUGUUUCAAGGAACUAACAUUAGUUUCAGUAUUACUGAGAAAAAGAAGAAAUCUUGGAAAUAUUGUGGUUUCCAGUUAAAUCAUGCCACCCAAUCAAGGUAUCAUAACUGGGCAUGAAUAUGGAUGAAUAUAAUGCAGAAUAUGGCUUGGGUUGAAAUCAAAAUCAUUCUCACACAAAAUUAUUCUGGUAAUAGUGUGGAAAAUCAAGUGGCCUUUGCAGACACAAAAGGCAGACUUUGAAGUCACUGCCUUUUCCAUCUGUAUGUAACUGUAAAGCUGCAGCUCAACCCAGAGGGGAUGAGAUUUUUUCCUGCUGGCAUCUGUUGUGUGGGAAGACAGAAGUGACUGUGUUGGCUUGGUUUCUGUGCUGUAGUUGUUCUGGCUACAGCCUCAAUUAUGUCUUUUGUUGAAAAAUCAAACCUGAUUAUUCUGUUCACUAAAAAUGAGCAGGGUGGAUGUGAAAUGAUCUGCAGUGUAUCAAACAUUAAGGGUAUCUGCUUUGCACCAGAAAUUGUCCCAGUAUAUAAAUUCAAUUAGAGAGUGAAGACAGAUGAGCAGGAUAUGAAAUCUAUAAUUACAGUAUUAACUGUAAAGAAAAAUUUCUGCCAGGCAGAGAAGGACCUGGGAGUGAUGGUUGAUAGUUGGCUGAAUAUGAGCCUGAUAGUUGGCUGAAUAUGAGCCAGCAGUGUGCUCAGGUGGCCAAGAAGGCCAACAGCAUCCUGGCUUGUAUCAGAAACAGUGUGACCAGCAGGGCUAGGGAGGUGAUCGUCCCCCUGUACUCGGCUCUGGUGAGGCCGCACCUCGAGUACUGUGUUCAGUUUUGGGCCCC